ACAAGCAAACCAGUUCUUGAUAAAACUAAGCCCCUCAAAUGUAUUAACUAAAUUCUGGUGUUAUGCUCUUCAGGUGUUACAUAUGUGUGCUAUUACAGUGAAGUUAUACCUACACAUAAGUGAGAUGGUUAAAUACAGAACUUAUAUUGUAUGGUAUUGGUAAAAGUUGUGCUUAUGAGAGGAAUACAAAUACAUUCAAUUAUUAUUAUUAUUAUGUUUUAAAUUGACCAAAGGGUUUUCAGGUAGUGUACAAUGGACUGAAUUAAGAGGUAAAAGGGAUUUUACCUAAUAAAUAUCACUGGGAGGUGCGGGAAAUGCAAAGGGAGUAUAAGUUUGCUCAUCAGUCAAUAUUUUGUAAGUCACAUCUAAAAAGCCGUUACCAUCUUUGACCAAGACAGCUGGAAACACUCUGUUUGUAACUUCUUCUUGUACUCUAUUUGGAACUUCUUCCUGUGGUUGAAUUGAAAUAAGAAGUUGAACAUGGUCAACUACUCCUCUUGUAGGUGGCACUGUGAACCAGCACUGAGGAAGUGAGGCAGGCCUUACUAUUCAGUACCCACUGCUAACAGGAUGUGAUUUGGUGAGAGAACAGAAAACAACUAGAGGCACAGACCAUGGAAUUGCUAGGGCAGAAGACUCUCCAGUUUCUGAGAUUGCAAUGUGUUCAGUAGCAGGAAUUCCAACCUCGACUCUGAAUGAAAUUUUGAGAAUGUAGGAAAAAGAAAAUGUAGUAAUUGCUGGCAACCUACUCUGAACAGCCAUUUAGGCUGCUGCUGUUUUGAAGAAAUGCCUAAAUGCCAGAAAGGCAUCACCACCAUACCUAGACAACCCAUUUUCCGUGUAAAGGAUUAAGAA
rnacentral:lncRNA from 1 species